GCCUAUAUUGGAAUAGCUCAGUCGGUAGAGCAUGAGACUCUUAAUCUCAGGGUUCUGGGUUCGAGCCCCACGUUGGGCA